CUCCGAGCAAUCGGGGUGAGAGUGGCGCACGGGUGAGUAACGCGUAUGCAACCUGCCUUUAACAGAGGGAUAGCCCAUAGAAAUGUGGAUUAAUACCUCAUAGUUCUUUUGAGUCGCAUGAUUUGGAAGAUAAAGCUCCGGCGGUUAAAGAUGGGCAUGCGUGACAUUAGCUAGUUGGUGAGGUAACGGCUCACCAAGGCUACGAUGUCUAGGGGUUCUGAGAGGAUGAUCCCCCACACUGGUACUGAGACACGGACCAGACUCCUACGGGAGGCAGCAGUGAGGAAUAUUGGUCAAUGGGCGCAAGCCUGAACCAGCCAUCCCGCGUGCAGGAUGACGGCCCUAUGGGUUGUAAACUGCUUUUAUACACCAAGAAAAAUCCCCACGUGUGGGGACCCGACGGUAGUGUAUGAAUAAGCAUCGGCUAACUCCGUGCCAGCAGCCGCGGUAAUACGGAGGAUGCAAGCGUUAUCCGGAUUCAUUGGGUUUAAAGGGUGCGUAGGCGGCUUUUUAAGUCAGUGGUGAAAUCUUGCCGCUUAACGGUAAAAUUGCCAUUGAUACUGAAGAGCUUGAGUACAGUUGAGGUAGGCGGAAUGUGUAGUGUAGCGGUGAAAUGCUUAGAUAUUACACAGAACACCAAUUGCGAAGGCAGCUUACUAAACUGAUACUGACGCUGAUGCACGAAAGCGUGGGGAGCGAACAGGAUUAGAUACCCUGGUAGUCCACGCCGUAAACGAUGCUCACUCGCUGUUUGCGAUACACAGCAAGCGGCCAAGCGAAAGCAUUAAGUGAGCCACCUGGGGAGUACGAUCGCAAGGUUGAAACUCAAAGGAAUUGACGGGGGCCCGCACAAGCGGAGGAACAUGUGGUU
rnacentral:rRNA from 1 species